rnacentral:lncRNA from 1 species
CUGAUAAAGGCAUCAAGUUGAUGCUUGCUCCAAGAUCACAGAUGGCUUUGUCAAAAGAGGAGUUUCCAAUGGUACAAGGAAUAGUGAAACUGUCUGAAUCUUUUCUUUUCUGAGGAAGUUUUUUUGAAGGAUAGCACUACAUUCUUCUGUCAAUUUUAUUGUUUCAUACUUCUCUAACUUCCAUUUAUUUGAUAUCACUUCCUUCAUAAACUUCGCAUAGUUCGGUAUUUGUUCCAAAGCAUCUGCAAAAGGAAUAUUAAUGUGAAUUUUCUUGAAAAUUUUUAAAAAUCUAGCAAAUUGAUCAUCAAAUUUUUUCUUUUGAAAACGUUGUGGGAAUGAAAGUGCUGGUUUGAUGAUGGGUGGGUUGUCAGGAAAUGAUAUGGAAUACGGUCUGUGAGCCUUUUGUUUUCCCUUGGCCUAAUUUUCUUGCUCUAUUGCUACUUGUUCUUCUUCCUUGUCAGGUGUGGAAAUGCUUUCUUCUGUGGGUCCAAUUCCUCCAGCUUUCUUGUCACUUCUCAAUACAACAGCCUUACAGUGUUCCUUCGGGUUGACUUCCGUAUCACUUUGAAAUUUUCCCUAUUGCUGAGAUUUCUUUGAUGUAGCCAAUUGAACAAUUCGAACUUCAAGAUUCUUCAUUGUAGCUCCCAUGUUUCGAUGUUGUCUAAAUGUGACUCAUCCUUGUUGAAGCGCGAUCUUGUUUCGGAGAAAAAGGUCCCAAGGGUGUCUUCUAAGGAUGGUUUUCCUUCAAAAUUCUGAGAGUUGAAUCCAGGUGGAGGCUGAAGUAUGUUUCCAUUGUUGCUAUAAGAUAGAUUUUCAUGAUAUCUCAACCUAGGAUGAUAGUGAUUAGACGAGUAGUUUCAUCUCUGAUUGUAGUUCCUAUUGCUGACAUAUUGAGCUUGCUCAUUUGCUAUCUCUGUUUCCUGGUUUGAUGAAGAGGCAACCAUAACUGAAUCUGCUUUCUGUUGGUUUCCUUGAGUGGUGACUGUGGCUAUUGGAUUUGUGAGUGAUGAAACCUGAGCUGUUAAUGCUGUGAGGGGUCCAGUUCAUGAAGUCCUGCUGCUCUUUUUACACUUGACCUCUCGCUUGGCCAUUGGUAACUAGUUGUGACUAUGUCAUCCAGUAAGGAGUAUGCAGCAUCUGCUAUUUUAGCCAUUAAAGUGCCUCCUGCAACUGCAUCUACUACAGUUCUUGUUUGCCCAUUUAAUCCAUUGUAGAAUAUUUUAAUCUGUAUCUAGCUUUGAAAUCCAUGUUGAGGACAUCUUCUAAGGAGGUCUUUGAAUCUUUCCCAAGCUUUAUAAAAUGGUUCGAAGUCAAGUUGUCGGAACUGACCAAUUUUACUUGGAAGUUAAUUUGAUUUGGUGGUGGAAAGUACUUGGUAAGAAAUUUCAGAGCCAAGUCAUCUCAAGUUGUGAUUGACCCGUAUGGUAAUGACAGGAACUAGGCUUUUGCCUAAUCCCUCAAGGAGAAAGAGAAUAACCAGAGUUUGAUUGCGUCUUCAGUAACCCUGUUCAUUUUCAUUGUAUCACAAAUUUCUAGAAAUGAGCCCAAGUGAGCAUUUGGGUCCUCUGUUGGACCUCCUCCAAAUUGAUUCUGCUGCCCCAUAUGUAUAAGUCCUAGUUUCAACUCGAAAUUGUUUGCAGGAAUAGCUGGGCGUGCGAUGUCGGAGUAAUUAUCAUUGACAAUGGGUCUGACGUAG